GACGAACGCUGGCGGCGUGCUUAACACAUGCAAGUCGAACGGAAAGGCCCUGCUUUUGUGGGGUGCUCGAGUGGCGAACGGGUGAGUAACACGUGAGUAACCUGCCCUUGACUUUGGGAUAACUUCAGGAAACUGGGGCUAAUCCCGGAUAGGAGCUCCUGCUGCAUGGUGGGGGUUGGAAAGUUUCGGCGGUUGGGGAUGGACUCGCGGCUUAUCAGCUUGUUGGUGGGGUAGUGGCUUACCAAGGCUUUGACGGGUAGCCGGCCUGAGAGGGUGACCGGGCACAUUGGGACUGAGAUACGGCCCAGACUCCUACGGGAGGCAGCAGUGGGGAAUAUUGCACAAUGGGCGGAAGCCUGAUGCAGCAACGCCGCGUGCGGGAUGACGGCCUUCGGGUUGUGAACCGCUUUCGCCUGUGACGAAGCGUGAGUGACGGUAAUGGGUAAAGAAGCACCGGCUAACUACGUG
rnacentral:rRNA from 1 species